CCUUAAGGUAAAUAAAGCUUAUGAGGACUAUUAAAUAAAUUAUAAACUCAAAUUAUAUGGCAGUAAUUAAAAUUAACAGGGGAACUUACCACAUAAAUGAUAAUCACCAAGAUACUCAACCCACUUUAAGUAAGUUUGUAUACCGUCGUUACAAGAGAUUCAUAAAGAGUUUCUUAAACAUAUCCAGAUAGAAUAACAGAUCAAGGUGCAACCUAUAAGUGGGCGUUCGCGAGUUACAAUAAAAAUUUAUUUCGAAUAUCGGCUCAAAGAGCCUUUUAAAGAUGGACUUGUAAGUAUAUUAAAUUAUUAUUAAUAGUAGAAUAAUCAACUUUAAUUGUGC
rnacentral:rRNA from 1 species